CCCUGGUUAGCUCAGUUGGUAGAGAGCUUCACUGGAAAUGGAGAGGUCCCGGGUUCGAUACCCGGACCAGGCG
rnacentral:tRNA from 2 species